UCCCUUCCAUUUCCUAUCGACGCCACCGCCUCCUGGUCGGGUCCCGCUUGCCACCGAUCCACCUCCCCGUCGCCAGUAGCUGGGGAAGCAAUAAAUUAGAUGUUCGAAUCUUGCACGCGCAGCAGCUGCCCCUUCUUAUUGCAUUUGGCGUAGUAAAGAAAGAGGGGGGUAGUCGUCGAUCGACGUCGACGGUGGCAGAAAAGGAGAUGGAAGCCUCCAACAGAUUCCAAAAGCAACGUCGAUCCGAAGUUAUCCACGAAAGGUGGAAAAAUAGGCGUUGACGAAGAGCAACCGAGAGCCAAGUAAAAAAGAGGAAGAAGGAAAAGUAGCCAAUUCGAUCUCACGCACCCGUUUGACGCGGUUUCCCAAAUCCAAAGACCACGGUGCGAGGUUGGGCGGCCGGAGGAUGGAGACCGCGGAGGGGCAGAUCAGGGGAAUCCUCACCCAUGGCGGCCGCUACGUGCGGUACAACGUGUACGGCAACCUGUUCGAGGUCACCGCCAAGUACGUCCCGCCCCUGCGUCCCCUCGGCCGAGGGGCUUACGGCAUCGUCUGUGCUGCUGUGAACUCGCAAACUCGUGAAGAGGUAGCUAUUAAGAAGAUUGGUAAUGCAUUUGAUAAUCGUAUCGAUGGCAAGAGAACUUUGAGGGAAAUAAAGCUUCUGUCCCACAUGGACCAUGAAAACGUUAUUGGAAUCAAGGACAUCAUACGCCCACCACAGAGGGAAAACUUCAGUGAUGUUUACAUUGUAUAUGAGUUAAUGGAUACUGAUCUAAAUCAGAUAAUCCGCUCUAAUCAAAUAUUGACUGACGAUCACUGCCAGUACUUCUUAUAUCAGAUACUACGGGGUCUGAAAUAUGUACACUCAGCAAAUGUCUUGCACCGUGAUCUUAAACCAAGCAAUUUGUUCUUAAAUGCAAAUUGUGACCUUAAAAUAGGAGACUUUGGAUUAGCAAGAACAACUUCUGAAACAGAUCUGAUGACAGAGUAUGUUGUCACUCGCUGGUACCGAGCACCUGAGCUGCUCCUUAAUUGCUCAGAGUAUACUGCUGCAAUUGAUAUUUGGUCAGUAGGGUGCAUACUUGGAGAAAUUGUAACCAGGCAACCUUUGUUUCCUGGGAGAGACUAUGUUCAGCAGCUGAGGUUAAUCACUGAGCUGAUAGGUUCACCGGAUGACUCGAGCCUUGGGUUUCUUCGAAGUGAAAAUGCUCGAAAAUAUGUAAAACAGCUGCCAAGAUAUCCAAGACAGAAUUUUGCACUCAGGUUCCCCAAUAUGUCUCCUGGAGCUCGUGAUUUGUUGGAUAGAAUGCUCGUGUUUGAUCCAAGCAAGCGAAUAACCGUUGAUGAGGCUCUGCAUCACCCUUACUUGGCACCUCUUCACGACAUCAAUGAUGAGCCUGUGUGUGCAUCCCCGUUUAGUUUUGAUUUUGAGCGACCAUCAUUCACCGAGGAAAAUAUCAAAGAGCUCAUCUGGAGGGAAUCUUUGAGAUUCUAUCCAGAUCCAUGAUAAUAUGGUACCUGUAUGUUUUACCACAGCAUGUCUGUUCUGUCUAGAGAAGUAUCACUGUCAUGGGGAUCAAUCAUUAUUGAUGCAUCUUUCUAAGUUCCACUGAGUCUAAAUUGGUUUUGCAACUUGGGGUUAGACAUCUGACUACUAGUGCUAUGGUAUUAGCGUCUGGAUGCUUAGGAAUCUAAUCGCUAGUUUCUUCCAUAUUCCUACAGUCCUGUUGGAAGAUGUCAUCUGAGGAAAGGUAUCAUUUGAGGUCGAAUACAUUUUGUGACUUGGAUUAGUUGAGUGCUAUAAUGGAUUGGAUUUGAUUGUUAUUGACCUAUUACUCGUCUGUAUACUUCAAGCAUGAGAUAGAUUCCAUGUUUACUGAUAACAACUAUGCUGUAAAUUAUGUAAAUUAACUUGAGUGUACCAUUAUUUGCAUGACA